UACGUAGGGUGGCAAGCGUUUGUCCGGAAUUAUUGGGCGUAAAGCGCGCGCAGGCGGUUUCUUAAGUCUGAUGUGAAAGCCCACGGCUUAACCGUGGAAGGUCAUUGGAAACUGGGAGACUUGAGGUGCAGAAGAGAAGAGCGGAAUUCCACGUGUAGCGGUGAAAUGCGUAGAGAUGUGGAGGAACACCAGUGGCGAAGGCGGCUCUUUGGUCUGUAACUGACGCUGGAGGCGCGAAAGCGUGGGGAUCAAACAGG
rnacentral:rRNA from 1 species